rnacentral:pre_miRNA from 1 species
AUUCUACUCCCUCUGUUGCACAAUACAUGCCUUCUAUUUGUCAAAAUAUAUAUGUAUCUAGACAUGUUUUAGUAUAUAGGUACAUCCAUUUUUGGACAAAUGGAAGUCAAGUAUUUUGGAAUGGAGGGGGUACACA